UCCUUUGCCCUCUUUUUUUAUGGAGUUGGUUUUUUUUUCUUGAACAUUUGUUUAAGUUCCUUAUAGAUGCUGCAUAUUAGACUUUGGUCAUAUGCAUAGGUUGCAAAACUUUUCUCCCAUUCUGUAGAUAGUUUUCUUUUGCUGUGCAGAAGCCCUUAAGUUUAAUUAGGUUUCAUUUGCCAAUUUUUGCUUUUGUUUGCAAAUAUAUGCUCCCAUUCUUUGGAUGUCUUUAUUUUUGUUGGUGCAGUGUGAAUCACAAAAGUUUCACAUUCUAAUGAGGUUUAAUAUGCCUGAUUUUUCUUCUUCCCUUUUGCUUUCGGCAUCAUAUCUUAGAAAAGAUUGUUUAACCUAAGACCACGAAGAUGUAUUCCUGUGUUAUUUUCUACUUUUUGGGACUGUUUAGCUAUUAUAUAUAGAUAUAUGAUCCUUUUGAGUCACUUACAUUUUCAGUGUGAGGCAGGAGUUCGACUUGCAUGGAAUAUGCACUUGCUUAGAAAUAUUUUAUUAGAAAUAUUUAUCCAUAUAUAAUUUAUUUGGUGACAUUAUAAAAUUAUUUCACUAUAAAUGUAUGUAUUCUUUUUUGAGCGUUAUAUUCUAUUACAUUGAUCAACAUCUAUAUUCUUAUACCAGUACCAUAAAUCUUGAUUACUAUUACUUUGCAGUGAGUUUUGAAGUCAGGAAGUAUGUAUCUCCCAGGCCAACCUUUUUUUCUCCUUUCUGAAAAUAAUUUAGGCUACUCUGGGUCUAUGGCAUUAUAUAUGAACUUUCGAUAAGCUUUGUGAAUUUAGAGGAAGGGAGUGUCACCUGGGAUUUUGAUAGAGGUUGCAUUAAAUCUAUAGAUCCAUUUGGAGAAUAUUGCCAGCCUAACAACAUUAACCUUUAUAAGCAAUGAAUAGUCAUAGCUUUUUCCGUUUUUUUCAAAAUGUUUUCUAUAGUUUUUGUGUAUAUAUCUUAUACUUAAUUUGAUAAACUUAUUUUUGAUGUCAUCUCAAAUGGAACAUUCUGAGUUUUUUGUUUUAGAUUAUUAAUUGCUAGCAUAUAGAAAUUCAGAGGAUUUUAUAUCUUCACCUUGUAUACUGCAAGUUUGUUGAACUCAUUUCUAAAUUCUCAACAUAUUUGAUUAGAGUCCUUUUGAAAUUUUAUACAUAAGAUCAUGUCAUAUGCCAACAGACAGAGUUUGACUUCCUUUCCAUCCUGGAAGCGUUAUAUUUAUUUUUCUAGACUAACUGCCAUGUCUGUAUCCUCUAGUACAAUGUUGAAAACAAGUGUCAAGAGUGGAAAUCCGUGUCUUGUUUCUAAUCUUGGAGAAAUUAGAGAACGUUUCAGAUAACUUAUGAUGAUACGUUAGUUUUUCAUGGAUCCCCUUUAAAAGGGAGACAGUUCCCUUAUCUGCAUCAUUUGCUGCAUAUUUUUCUCAUAAGGAGUUGGAAAAUUCUCAAGCGCCUAUGCAUCUUCUGAGAUGAUUAUGUGGUUUUUGUUCUUUAUUAUAUGAAUACAGUGCAUAGCACUAGUUGUAUGUUGAACCAAAUUUUGCUUUCCUGAGGUAAAUACCCUUGAUAUAGCAUACAAUACUUUUUACAUGUUUCUGCUUUGUUUUACUAAUAUUUCCUUGAUGUUUUUUGUCCCUGUAUUCAUAAGGUAUAUUGUUCUUCAUUUUCCCUAUUUGAAGUGUCUUUGUCUGGCUGCAGUAUCAGGGUAAACUAACUCAGUAUACAAUGGGAAAUCAUGUUUUCUCCACUUUUUUGGAAUAAUUUGUAAUAAAUUAGUACUAAUUUUUUUAAAUGAUUAUAAUAAUUCACUGAAGAAUUCUUCUUGAUGAGGUCAGAGAGGUUAAUCCUAAGAAUAGUUACAUGAGCUUGGAAGGAGACCCUUCCGCAGCUGAGCCUUAGCCUGGGCCAUCACCUACAUCUGGACUGAAGACCCAGAGAAACUGUGAGUAAUAUGUGUGUGGUUUUGAACCACUAAGAUGUAUAGUAGUCUGUUAUGCACCAAGUCUUAAGUAAUAUACCUGACAGUAAUUGCAAUGUGGUAUUCUAGAUUAGGUCUUGGAACACAUAAACAUAUCAUUAUUAGAAAUUCUGGUAAAAUAUGAAGGAAAUCUGUAGAUCAGUUAAUAGUUUUGAAACAUAGUGAAAUUCUUAGUUUUCAUGAAUAUACUAUAGUUGUAAUAGUAACAUUUUAGUUAGCUGUCUGUUCUACCUGUGUGUCUUUUUGUAAAUCUGCCAUUAUUUCAAAAUAAAUUUGUUUUCUAAAAUUAUUAUAUCUAUAAAAAGAAAACAAAGACAUAAGCAAAAAUCUUUGGCUUCCAGAGAUGAAUGGGCACAUAGAGAGAGAAUAGAAAACAAGCAUUUUUUAUCUAGUCGCCUUUCCAAACCCAGGUACACCUGCUUCGGGAAGGCACCAUCAAGCUUUACAGACUGUCAUCCUUUGUCUCCUUCUCCGUUACCCAGUCACCAGUUGGAAUGUCAGCAACCACUUGUUCAGAAAAAGCUGCCUUUCCUUCACAUAUCCAGAAAGCCCCAUGUGCAGACAUCACUGAGCAGUGUAUAUUCAGGAUCCCAUUGAAGCAUUUUUGGGAGAUAUGACUCAGAUUAGAAGCCAAGAAUUGGAAAUUUCAGUCACAGGGAACAUAAAUCAUAUUUCUGCGUUCAGGAUAGUGUUUUCUUGGUACAGGGAUUUCUUCUUCAAGUAAUCAAAAGACAACUGUACCUUCAAACCUUUCAGAAAAAUAUGUCCUAAUUUAGUUCUUUUCAUUCUACAGACUCCAUCAGGAAUUGUUUGAGACCAUGCAUUCUGUUGCCCACUGCCAACCCGAAAGCCACCAAGGUAGCAGUGCACACUGACGUCUCAAGAAGUGAGCACGAUUUUCACUCCUGUGCUCCAUUUUGGAGUCUGAGCUGACUUUCUGCGGGAAAGAGUCUCACUCUGUCACCCAGGCUGGAGUGCUAUGACGCA